UGUUAUUUUCAUGUUUGACGAUGUGCCUACGGGCCGCUAGACAUGCAUAUCAAGGUAAUGAUAGGAACGGACCGGCGGGUGAUGAGAGGGACCUGUGAUCGUGCCAUAUGGGACAUGUAAAUCGCUUCCGCUCAGUUUACGUUUUCAAGCUAUUUAUAAGUUUUGAUUUGAAACUCGAUGUUGGACAAAAUUUUAUUUGUUUAAGUUAUUUUUUCUUCAUCAUUUUAGGGACCCCGAACAAAGGUUUUUCUUAUUUGUUAUCUAUUUUGGAAAUUUGUCUUUGUUAUUUUAAUGAAAAUUUAUUUUCCUCAA